GGCGAACCGUGCGAACGUUAUUCGGAAUCACUGGGCUUAAAGCGCGUGUAGGCGGAUGGGGACGUCGGUCGCUGAAAUCCCCCGGCUCAACCGGGGAACGGGCGCCGAAACGCCCCGUCUCGAGGGACGUAGGGGGACCUGGAACUUCCGGUGGAGCGGUGAAAUGCGUUGAGAUCGGAAGGAACGCCCGUGGCGAAAGCGAGGUCCUGGACGUCUUCUGACGCUGAGACGCGAAAGCUAGGGGAGCGAACGGG
rnacentral:rRNA from 1 species